GGAUACAUUACAUCCCAUGGGCUCCUUCGAAACUAUCAAGAGAUCAUCUAUCUCUAAUUUCUCAGUGAUUGUACCGAUGGAAUCCCUCUCUUCUCCUCCUUUCUUUCGAAGUGGAUAAUCCUUCUUGAAGUAUCCAGUCUUAUGGCACUUGUAAUACUUCAAAACCUUUUUCGAUCUAUCCUUGAAUUUUUUUCUCUUCCCAGGUCUUCAUCGUCUCUCAUGAACAGCAAGUGCCUCUGAAGUAGAGCCUCCCUUAGAGAUCUUCUCCUGCUGCUCGUUUGAUCUCAGGGCACCC
rnacentral:lncRNA from 1 species